rnacentral:lncRNA from 1 species
GCGUCUGCCCACGUCUUCCUGGCUGCUUGGGUGACACCGCCCAAACGCGGCUCAUUAUUCUGUUUUUCUUCCUUGCCUGAGCAAGACAAUGGUGGUGGUGGUGGAGCAGGAGAGGAGAGACCUGUUCCCAGCGGUGAUUUCAAUGAGUGACCCUGCUUGGAGUGACAUUCACCAACAGCCCAGCCAGAAGAGGUGAAAGGAAACCAGGUAAAAAUCAGGAGAAUGGGGAAUGAAAAUCACACUCACUUCACAUUUCAUCGCUAGACUGCAGGGGAAAGAGAAGAUGCCCCAGCAGCAGAAAGCUUAGCUGGGAACACAGGCUCUGGGACGAGAAGAGGCACACCCAGCCGGGCUCACUUCUGACCCUUUGCUGAACUCAGUCUUGCCCCUGCCCAGAUUAAGGGCUAAGCCAGUCCUCAUCGUCAGCACAGCAGUAUCGAGAGGAAGACUGCGGCUGCUCUAAUUGCUAUGAAGUCUCUUGCCCUCAAAACCCUGAAGCACCAAAGCCUGAAUCCUUCCCGCGAAACACUGACCUCUCUCUCUCGGGCCCAGUCAUGCCCACUGCCCAAGUGCAGCAGCCGGGGAGAGCAGAGAUUGUUCUCAUCAUCGCCAAGGGCCGUGGAGAAGAGGAUGCUAGG